rnacentral:tRNA from 1 species
GGGGACGUAGCUCAGCGGCAAGAGCGCUCGCUUGUCAGGCGAGAUGUCGCCGGUUCGAGUCCGGUCGUCCCCG